UACGUAGGGGGCGAGCGUUGUCCGGAUUUAUUGGGCGUAAAGAGCGUGUAGGCGGCUUGGUAGGUCCGCUGUGAAAACUCGGGGCUCAACCCCGAGAGGUCGGUGGAAACCAUCUGGCUAGAGUCCGGAAGAGGAGAGUGGAAUUCCCGGUGUAGCGGUGAAAUGCGUAGAGAUGUGGAGGAACACCAGUGGCGAAGGCGACUCUUUGGUCUGUAACUGACGCUGAGGCGCGAAAGCGUGGGGAGCAAACAGG
rnacentral:rRNA from 1 species